rnacentral:rRNA from 1 species
UUGUGUCGUAAUAUAAGGGGGUAGAGCACUGAAUGGGCUAGGGCAUACACCAAUGUACCAAACCCUAUCAAACUCCGAAUACCUUAUAUGUAAUCACAGCAGUCAGGCGGCGAGUGAUAAAAUCCGUCGUCAAGAGGGAAACAACCCAGACUACCAGCUAAGGUCCCUAAAUCUUACUUAAGUGGAAAACGAUGUGAAGUUACUUAAACAACCAGGAGGUUGGCUUAGAAGCAGCCAUCCUUUAAAGAAAGCGUAAUAGCUCACUGGUCUAGUGAUUUUGCGCGGAAAAUAUAACGGGGCUAAAGUAAGUACCGAAGCUGUAGACUUAGUUUACUAAGUGGUAGGAGAGCGUUCUAUUUGCGUCGAAGGUAUACCGGUAAGGAGUGCUGGAGCGAAUAGAAGUGAGCAUGCAGGCAUGAGUAGCGAUAAUUAAUGUGAGAAUCAUUAACGCCGUAAACCCAAGGUUUCCUACGCGAUGCUCGUCAUCGUAGGGUUAGUCGGGUCCUAAGUCGAGUCCGAAAGGGGUAGACGAUGGCAAAUUGGUUAAUAUUCCAAUACCAACAUUAGUGUGCGAUGGAAGGACGCUUAGGGCUAAGGGGGCUAGCGGAUGGAAGUGCUAGUCUAAGGUCGUAGGAGGUUAUACAGGCAAAUCCGUAUAACAAUACUCCGAGAACUGAAAGGCUUUUUGAAGUCUUCGGAUGGAUAGAAGAACCCCUGAUGCCGUCGAGCCAAGAAAAGUUUCUAAGUUUAGCUAAUGUUGCCCGUACCGUAAACCGACACAGGUGGGUGGGAUGAGUAUUCUAAGGCGCGUGGAAGAACUCUCUUUAAGGAACUCUGCAAAAUAGCACCGUAUCUUCGGUAUAAGGUGUGGUUCGCUUCGUAUUAGGAUUUACUCCGAAAGCGAAGAAACUUACAACAAAGAGUCCCUCCCGACUGUUUACCAAAAACACAGCACUCUGCUAACUCGUAAGAGGAUGUAUAGGGUGUGACGCCUGCCCGGUGCUCGAAGGUUAAUUGAUGGGGUUAGCAUUAGCGAAGCUCUUGAUCGAAGCCCGAGUAAACGGCGGCCGUAACUAUAACGGUCCUAAGGUAGCGAAAUUCCUUGUCGGUUAAAUACCGACCUGCAUGAAUGGCGUAACGAGAUGGGAGCUGUCUCAAAGAGGGAUCCAGUGAAAUUGUAGUGGAGGUGAAAAUUCCUCCUACCCGCGGCAAGACGGAAAGACCCCGUGGACCUU